CACCAAUAUUUCGGCUCUGGCCCUCCAAGACCAUCAAAGAUUCAAGGUAUGAAGGAACUGUUUCUACAACACCUUACAUCUUUGGGUUGUAUGCUGGAAUACACUGGGUCACAUCUAGACAGGAUUAGGUGAAGAGGAAUCAUACACUGAUUCUCACCCACAUCUGAUUAGCAGGAAGUAGCUACAGAAGACAGAUACUUCAUCCCUCUUCCUGAGGCCAUAACAAACAAAAAAGGGAGGAAUGUAAGGUAAGUGCCUUGGAAUGGCUGCUGCCAUUCUGAUAAGUAACUUCCUUCUUAACCUUAAAGUUUCCAUGUCCUACGUCACACAUCACUGGUCAGAUGCACAAACAAGGCUUGUCCAUAUAAGGAAUGGAUGCCCAAGCGUGGCCCCUGAGUGGCUGCCUGUGCAGCUGACACAAUCCCCAACCCACC